CUCAUUACACCCUCAACGGCGUCGACCGGAGCAUCCGCAAGCACUUCACCGGGACAAAUUUGCGACUAAUUACAAAGUUGAGAGUUUCCUUCCGUUCCUUUCAGUGCCGCGUCCUCCCGCACAUCCCGGAGCAGCGUCGUGACGUUCUGGCGACCGCUGCUGCCUCUCUCGCUCCCCCCAAUCGACCCGCGGCGGAGGAGCGACGCGGCAGCUGUCAACGGGCGGGCUUGGCGGACGAUUCCGAGGCACUGCGGCCUGAUUCCUCGCGUCUCAAGUGCCAAGGUGAGACGGCGACGCGCACCUACAGCCUUCACACCUGAGUGACCGCUAACAGUGUCACGUUCCUCAGUCAAGUCGGACAAGCAUUCUUCCUUAACUUCUGUCCUCAAUGCUUGGUGCCGUUCCUCUCUGUGCCUCCGCGGCCUCACUAAUGCCCCGCCCCACAUCCCAGCCCCGCAUCACAGCCCCGCAUCUCCACCCCGCCUCAGCCCGACUCUUCUCUCAGCGACGAAGAAAACGGGAAUAAUCGAAGUACCUACGAUUAGUUAAGUUUCUUAGUGUACUGUAAAGGUCCGUGUAUAAAGUAAUGAAGGUGUUUUUUGUGUUUGUUUAUGUUUGUGCGUAUGGUGAGUGUGUUUGGUGUUUGUGUUUGUACUGGGAAGGUUUGUGUGUGUGUGUGUGAUUUGUAGUUUGUAAUGAUACGUUCUUGUUUCUCUGUCUGUGUGUGUCUGGUUCUCUCUCUCUCUCUCUCUCUCUCUCUCUCUCUCUCUCUCUCUCUCUCUCUCUCUCUCUGUUGCUACAUCUGCAAGUAUUAUAAUGUAUUCUAAUUUGCAGUUGCAUACUUUAAUCUAUAUAUAAUUUAAGAGUUUUAUAUGUUAUGUAAAAUGAAUUAAUAUGGUUAGGAGAUAGAUGGACUUUUAUUGCUCUCUCUCUCUCUCUCUCUCUCUCUCUCUCUCUCUCUCUCUCUCUCUCUCUCUGCGGCAAAGAGCUUUAAGACAAAUUAGUUGCUGACGAAUGUAUCACAAAGUAAAAAUAUAAAACUGCAGUCAGAGCUGGAAUGCAAGAUAAUUGUUAACACAC